UAGGGAAUCUUCGGCAAUGGGGGCAACCCUGACCGAGCAACGCCGCGUGAGUGAAGAAGGUUUUCAGAUCGUAAAGCUCUGUUGUAAGUCAAGAACGAGUGUGAGAGUGGAAAGUUCACACUGUGACGGUAGCUUACCAGAAAGGGACGGCUAACUACGUGCCAGCAGCCGCGGUAAUACGUAGGUCCCGAGCGUUGUCCGGAUUUAUUGGGCGUAAAGCGAGCGCAGGCGGUUUGAUAAGUCUGAAGUUAAAGGCUGUGGCUCAACCAUAGUUCGCUUUGGAAACUGUCAAACUUGAGUGCAGAAGGGGAGAGUGGAAUUCCAUGUGUAGCGGUGAAAUGCGUAGAUAUAUGGAGGAACACCGGUGGCGAAAGCGGCUCUCUGGUCUGUAACUGACGCUGAGGCUCGAAAGCGUGGGGAGCGAACAGGAUUAGAUACCCUGGUAGUCCACGCCGUAAACGAUGAGUGCUAGGUGUUGGAUCCUUUCCGGGAUUCAGUGCCGCAGCUAACGCAUUAAGCACUCCGCCUGGGGAGUACGACCGCAAGGUUG
rnacentral:rRNA from 1 species